rnacentral:rRNA from 1 species
CGCGCAGGCGGCUUCGGAAGUCAUGGGUGAAAGCCCCAGGCUCAACCUGGGAAUGGCCUGUGAAACCACGGAGCUAGAGUGCUGGAGAGGAAAGCGGAAUUCCCAGUGUAGCGGUGAAAUGCGUAGAUAUUGGGAGGAACAUCUGUGGCGAAGGCGGCUUUCUGGACAGACACUGACGCUGAGGCGCGAAAGCUAGGGGAGCGAACG